rnacentral:rRNA from 1 species
UCAGGAUGAACGCUAGCGACAGGCCUAACACAUGCAAGUCGAGGGGCAGCACAAGGAGCAAUCUGAGGUGGCGACCGGCGCACGGGUGAGUAACACGUAUGCAACCUGCCUGUAAGCGGGGAAUAACCCGUUGAAAGACGGACUAAUACCGCAUAAUACUAAAUUACUGCAUGGUAAUUUAUUUAAACAUUUAUGGCUUACAGAUGGGCAUGCGCAUGAUUAGCUAGUUGGAGAGGUAACGGCUCCCCAAGGCAACGAUCAUUAGGGGUUCUGAGAGGAAGGUCCCCCACACUGGUACUGAGACACGGACCAGACUCCUACGGGAGGCAGCAGUGAGGAAUAUUGGUCAAUGGACGAGAGUCUGAACCAGCCAAGUCGCGUGCAGGAAGAAUUGUCCUAUGGAUUGUAAACUGCUUUUGCAGGGGAAUAAAGUGCAUCACGUGUGAUGUUUUGUAUGUACUCUGCGAAUAAGGAUCGGCUAACUCCGUGCCAGCCGCGGC